UUAAACUGAAGAGUUUGAUCCUGGCUCAGAUUGAACGCUGGCGGCAUGCCUUACACAUGCAAGUCGAACGGCAGCACGGGUGCUUGCACCUGGUGGCGAGUGGCGAACGGGUGAGUAAUACAUCGGAACAUGUCCUGUAGUGGGGGAUAGCCCGGCGAAAGCCGGAUUAAUACCGCAUACGAUCUACGGAUGAAAGCGGGGGACCUUCGGGCCUCGCGCUAUAGGGUUGGCCGAUGGCUGAUUAGCUAGUUGGUGGGGUAAAGGCCUACCAAGGCGACGAUCAGUAGCUGGUCUGAGAGGACGACCAGCCACACUGGGACUGAGACACGGCCCAGACUCCUACGGGAGGCAGCAGUGGGGAAUUUUGGACAAUGGGCGAAAGCCUGAUCCAGCAAUGCCGCGUGUGUGAAGAAGGCCUUCGGGUUGUAAAGCACUUUUGUCCGGAAAGAAAUCCUUGGCUCUAAUACAG
rnacentral:rRNA from 1 species